UUUCAGAAGUUAAAACCAUUAAACUCUCACCCUCAUUUCAUUUCAAACCAGUAUGGCUUUCUUCUAAGAAACACUAAAGAAGAACAAAGAAAUGCAUAGGUUUGGAACAACAUGAGGAUCUAUAUGGGUUCAGUGUGUUACCUCAGGCCACAUGGGGUGAGAGCAGCUCAAGUCCUCAUUGAGUUUCUGCACAGUCCAGCGCUGCCAGUGCUUGAGUUUCCUCCGA